rnacentral:rRNA from 1 species
AAUGCCCGAAAGGGUGACAAUGCGACGCCGCGUGAGCGAUGAAGGCCUUCGGGUUGUAAAGCUCUGUCGGCCCGGAUGAAGGCAGUAGGGUGAAUAACCUUACUGAUUGACGGUACGGGCGAAGGAAGCCACGGCUAACUCUGUGCCAGCAGCCGCGGUAAUACAGAGGUGGCAAGCGUUGUUCGGAUUCACUGGGCAUAAAGAGCACGUAGGCGGUCGGGCAAGUCCAUUGUGAAAUCCCCCGGCUUAACCGGGGAACUGCAAUGGAUACUACUCGGCUUGAGUGCAGGAGGGGAGAGUGGAAUUCCUGGUGGAGCGGUGAAAUGCGUAGAUAUCAGGAGGAACGCCGGCGGCGAAAGCGACUCUCUGGUCUGCUACUGACGCUGAGGUGCGAAAGCUAGGGGAGCAAACAGGAUUAGAUACCCUGGUAGUCCUAGCCGUAAACGAUGGGCACUAAGUAGAGGGGUUUUAAUCG